rnacentral:rRNA from 1 species
UUGACCUCGGAUCAGGUAGGAAUACCCGCUGAACUUAAGCAUAUCAAUAAGCGGAGGAAAAGAAACCAACAGGGAUUGCCUCAGUAACGGCGAGUGAAGCGGCAACAGCUCAAAUUUGAAAUCUGGCCGCAAGGUCCGAGUUGUAAUUUGUAGAGGAUGUUUUGGGUACCGCCGUGGUUUAAUUUUCUUGGAACAGAAAGCCACAGAGGGUGAGAGUCCCGUCUUGGACCGCGGUAGGGCCUAUGUAAAACUCCUUCGACGAGUCGAGUUGUUUGGGAAUGCAGCUCAAAAUGGGUGGUAAAUUUCAUCUAAAGCUAAAUAUUGGCCAGAGACCGAUAGCGCACAAGUAGAGUGAUCGAAAGAUGAAAAGCACUUUGAAAAGAGAGUUAAACAGUAUGUGAAAUUGUUGAAAGGGAAGCGCAGGCAACCAGACUCGCGCGCGGGGUUCCCCCUGGCUUCUGCCUGGGUCACUUCCCCGCGUCCGGGCCAUCAUCAGUUUUGGGGACCGGUUAAAGGUCUCGGGAAUGUAUCCUCUUCUUCGGAGGAGGACUUAUAGCCCGGGGCGUCAUGCGGCCUCCUGGGACUGAGGAACGCGCUUCGGCGAGGAUGAUGGCGUAAUGGUUGUCUGCGACCCGUCUUGAAACACGGACCAAGGAGUCUAACAUCUAUGCGAGUGUUCGGGUGACAAACCCUU